rnacentral:rRNA from 1 species
AUGCUUGCAACCAGGCUGGCUGACAUACUCAAUGUUCAGGAUCCUCACUUCUUCACAGAUUGCUCAGUAUUAGCUUUGGCAGCAAAAGCGACGAACAUUCUCUUUGCUCCACGUCCUUGGGACAACAAGCCACUACUUGCUCAGAUACAAAAUAGUCCUUCUUUCCAGCAUAGCAAAGUUACUCACAUUUACAGGGAGAGCAACGUCAAGGCUCAUCAUCUUGCACGCCUAGCUUUGAAAGUCCAAAUAGACCUGUACUGUUUUGUUGCUUGGGUGUGUUUGGUUGCAUUCUCAUCUUAG